rnacentral:misc_RNA from 1 species
UAUAGUGAAGAAUAAUUGAUUCUGUCAAGAAAAGAAAACAAGUGAAGGAUAAUCGUAAAAAAGAAAAAACCCAUGAUUCUGUACAUUGUUUCUGGACCAAAAAGCUUGACUAAGUAAUAACAAUUUAUCUUCCCUGCUCGAGUGAUGAUUCUGUUUACUCGGUCAAGCCAGUUGACUAGGCCACCAUGAUCAUUCACUUCCUAGUUUUCGGGGCAGGUGUCCUCAUGCAUGGAAUUUUACUGCAUCUAAAAAGCUUUAGAAUAACAAAUAUUAAGAAGUAACACAAUGAUAAAGAAGUAAUGAUGCAAUCGUUAAUCGUCCCAGCACAAAUGCAAAUUUCCCAAUACAAAAACAUUCCAAAAGGCUGUUACAAUGAAAUGCUGACCUUGAUUACAGCAACAAUAUAAUAAAUAGUUUCCACAGUUGAUAACUGAGUAAUGACAAACUUGAUUCCCACAGAAUUAAACAAAAGAGUUUCCUAAUGGCUCUGGCUCAAGAAAUAUUAUUGCAACAGUAGAUGAGGCUCUUGGAAAUGUCAUUAUUGUCAUUGCCUUCAGUAUUAUUUCUAAUGGCUUCUUCAGAUUCAUGGACCAAGCAAUGGUUAUCCUUUCAAGUACCAUUCCAUUUUCUAGUACAAACUUUAUAAAUUCAAGUCCAUUAUCCUGACCUUCAAAGUUGCUAAUCUCAACUGUCUUGAGAUGAUAUGCCAAACAUGUAACAGCCUCAUCCUCAGGUUGCCAGUUAUCCUUCCAAUCAGAUGUCUAAAAGCAAAAGCACAAAACUGUAGUUUAUGGAGAUUAAAAAAAGUACUGAUAAAAAUAAACGACUAAGACACUCAUCCUUUAAUUCCACUAGUUGACAAAUCAUUUCUAUAAUACACUGCAUGUCAUAGAUAACAUGACCAAAAUGCAUUCAAUUCUAGAUUUUGAAACAUUCACAAUUAUAGGGAUGAAGAAAUGAAUAUAAAAGGAAUUGCUUGUUUGGUUGCUUCCUUGGGCAACUUUGAACAAGCGAACUUGUUUAAAUUUGCAGCAUCAAGGAUGCAAUUGAAUGCCUUAAAGUGCCAACUGCCGCUUUUGCAAGUCCUUUUGUGCAAAUGUAACUGCAACUUUUGAGUGCAUUUCGUCUGACACAGAUUCUUAAGGUAAAUGGCAUUUCACAAAAGAUAAAGUACAACCUGUUUGUGCAAGCCCAUCACUUAAAUGCACAACUAACACAAAUAAUGUUAAUAAAAUGCAAUUUAACCGUGACAUUAUAACAAGAAUAUAUGUUAGAUUAUAAUAAAUAAAUUACUUUUGAGUUAAAGAUACAUUCUUUAAUCAUAUGAUAACAAAACAUAUAGAAUUAUAUUAACAACUCAAACUUUAUUGCAAAGGACUGGCGGCAGACUUAAAAGGCAGCCUAGGUCAACGAAAGCAGUGGCCAGUGGGCCUUUUAAAUGUUUUAGAUUAGAUUAGAAAUUCAAAGAGCAAAACGAAAGGGAAAUAAAUGCUAUGGCUCUACGGCAUCAAAUUUUAUUUUGUUGGUAUUCAAGAAAAGCAUGCACUGUAAGAAUUUUACCAUAAAAUAAAUAUGAACGGCCUUCAGAUUUGGUGAGCUCUUGAGUAAAUGGAUGAUAACUUGCAGAUGAAGUUUAUCAGUGCCAGCAUUUAGCUUGAGGAGCUUCAGAUUACAAAAUGGUGCUGGGAAACAUACUGGUUCACUAAGUGCAGAGCACAGAAGCUAGAGCAGAAUAAGAAAAAAUAGUGAGAAAACUUCAAUGCAGGAUAUAUACAAUUAAACGUAAAUUGCAUACCUCCAAGAAAAUCAUGGAUAGUUUCAUGACUUCUACAUUAUAGAAUCCUCCAAUGAAUUUACGCAUCAGAUAACCAAGUCCUUUUAACGAUCCUUUCUCAAAAGCAUUCACCAAAUGUAUAUCUACAUUAACUAUGCAUAACGGAUCUUGCAGAAUAUAGUCUCGAGCCACAGGACCCAUGUACUUGAAAGAUAAAAGGUUUGGAGCAAAAAUUUUAAGUGCAGUCCGCCGUAAACCAUCAUCACCAGCAUCAUCCAAUUUGAGAUUUUCUAUAGUCAAAGUUUUUAGCUUUGUAGCAUAAAUAUCAAGAACCUUGAUAUUAUCAUAAACACACCUUUCCAAAACCAAAUUUUCCAGAAGUGGGCAACCCAAGAAAAGUAGUCUAGCCAAACCAUCAUUUAAAAAUCUCAACGACACAAGAUGCAGCGAAGUGAGCUUAUUAAAAACCAUUAUUUUGGGAAUUUCAAGAACAUGGUUAAAUAAGUUCAACUUCAAUGCCGUCAAAUAUUUGGAGGAACCGAUACUAUGAGGCAACAGGAAUGCCCCUUCAGGGCAUAAAGACAAAUCAAGCUCACGAACAUUAUGGCUUAUCACAACAUGAAUCCACUUAUCGACCCAUUUAUUGCAGAAAUUAAAACUGGAGAGACGGAACCUCUUUAUGUCACUUCCAUCUCUAAAAGACAAAACACAAGUUACAAAGUUGGUGAAUUUCUCACUGAACUCACGUUGGUACCAGAAUCUAAUAUGACGGGACCAAAAAUAACAGUGAUCAAAUUCAAGGUAACCCAGUGAGGUCCACAAGUAUCUCCAUCGCUUAGACAAGAGGCUCGUCUUGACGGCAUCAACAGUUUGUAGAAAUGAGAGUAUCAGGUGAAGGAUUGCGUCAGGCAAAUUACUGAUUCUGUCAACGGCACCACCGGAUUGCUUCGAGGCUUUAUGUUUUUUAGCAGGAUGAAUACCUAGAUACUUUGUUUCCAUGGCUAUGACACGAUGCUCGUUGGCUGGGGCAUUUUGUCGAAUAGGUAGUGUGCACAGGUGAACUUGUUAGUGUAACUGAGGCUGGUCUGACUGGCCAGUAGUGCUAGUGUGAGAUAGGAACUAAAAUGGGUUUGGGUUUGGGCUUGAGACCGUAGAUAGAUUUAUUUAGCACAAGAUUUUUGUCCGAAAAGAGGUGGCAUGCAAUGCAAUCAAUGAUAAACAUUUGAAAAUAGUAGAAGGCAGACUUGACAGCCCAUUAGCCAUUGGGGAAUGGCGACGUGGUGUUAAGAAUCAAUAAGAAUGGCGACGUGGUGUUAAGACCCAACGUCGACCAAAACGAAAAAGGUUUCCAUUCGAGCUAUCGGUUUUGAAGAACUUGGACAGAGAAAAGAAAAUAGGAAACGGAUGGGAGAAAAGUCUGUUUUGG